rnacentral:lncRNA from 1 species
UAUAAAACUGAAGACAUGUCAAUCUGCUCAUGUAAAUCUUCCACUCAGUAACCUUUUGUGUGCAGCAUUUAUUGAGGCUGAUGGCAAAAAUUGAAACCAACAUCAUGGUAUUCUGAAGACCAGAGAUAUGAAUCUCCCUCAUUUGACAUCCUACUGGGCCUGAAUCUGUUUCACUGCUAAAGCUCUGCUGCCAAACCUAUACAAGCUGCCUCCCUCUAGGCCCAGGGGCUAUCAUGGAAGAGAUUGCCGGAGGCCAGAAAGUAAGACAAAUAACAGCUCACCUGCCUGGCUUGUUGGAGCAACAAGAAACUUUAAGAGCAAUCCUCCAUUUGCCAGGUUCCUUGGUAAUUAGACUUGUCAAUAGAACAGAUUUCUGUGUCCAUAAUGCAUAAGGUUAAGUAAGGUAUGUCGGUAUGUUGAGUAAGAUCACCACUCAAAUGAGGAGAAUGAUUGUUACAAGGUACAACAUAUAAUGAACAAAGUGGGAAAUUAAGAAAUUCUUAAUUUGUACAUUCUGGCCCAGGAAAAAGAAAUGCUGAGAUUAUCUUGGAUUGUGUUUAGAUAACUGUUUUGUAUUUCAAAGUACUUUCAGAAUCAUCUCAUUUUAGCUUUACAAUCUAGAAAUUUUUAUACAUAUUAUUUUCUAUUUGAGAAUACUGACAAAUUUCGCUUAAACAAACUUUAGCCUGACUCCUGAAGCUCCUCCUGUAUCUAUGUGUGCACUUCCUUGUAAAAUCCAGUUUCAGCAAGAACUCUGCUAAAUCAUUUUAACCAGAACCUCCCACUCUUGAUACCGGAUCACCUUGAUAUUUUAUCAGGUUCCUCAUCUUCCACCUCCAGGGGAUGUCUGGUCACCCUGGCCUGUCUUCAGCAAGAACCCUAUUAAGUCAGUUUAGCCAGAAUCCUCCUUAUCCCUGAUGUUUCCUCUGAGCAAUUUUCCACCCACUGACCCCACCCUAUUCCUUGCCUAUAAGCUCCCACUUGCCAUGCUGUAUUAGGAUUUGAGCCCAAUCUCUCUCCCUCACUGCAAAAUCCCAUUGCAGUGGCCCCUGUACCAAACAUGAUGGUCCUGAAUAAAGUCUUUC